GAGCGGCGUACGGGUGCGUAACACGUGUGCAACCUACCUUUAUCAGGGGAAUAGCCUUUCGAAAGGAAGAUUAAUACUCCAUAAUAUCUUAUCAGGCAUCUGAUUAGAUUGAAAACUCCGGUGGAUAGAGAUGGGCACGCGCAAGAUUAGAUAGUUGGUGAGGUAACGGCUCACCAAGUCAUUGAUCUUUAGGGGUCCUGAGAGGGAGAUCCCCCACACUGGUACUGAGACACGGACCAGACUCCUACGGGAGGCAGCAGUGAGGAAUAUUGGACAAUGGGUGAGAGCCUGAUCCAGCCAUCCCGCGUGAAGGAUGACGGUCCUACGGAUUGUAAACUUCUUUUGUAUAGGGAUAAACCUAGUCUCGUGAGACUAGCUGAAGGUACUAUACGAAUAAGCACCGGCUAACUCCGUGCCAGCAGCCGCGGUAAUACGGAGGGUGCAAGCGUUAUCCGGAUUUAUUGGGUUUAAAGGGUCCGCAGGCGGGCCGAUUAGUCAGUGGUUGAAAUCUCAUAGCUUAACUAUUGAACUGCCAUUUGAUACUGUCGGUCUUGAGUAAAUUAAGAGGUAGCUUGGAAUUAAGUAGUUGUAACCGGUGAAA
rnacentral:rRNA from 1 species